rnacentral:rRNA from 1 species
AGAGUUUGAUCAUGGCUCAGGAUGAACGCUGGCGGCGUGCCUAACACAUGCAAGUCGAGCGAUUCUCUUCGGAGAAGAGCGGCGGACGGGUGAGUAACGCGUGGGUAACCUGCCCUGUACACACGGAUAACAUACCGAAAGGUAUGCUAAUACGAGAUAAUAUACUUUUAUCGCAUGGUAGAAGUAUCAAAGCUUUUGCGGUACAGGAUGGACCUGCGUCUGAUUAGCUAGUUGGUAAGGUAACGGCUUACCAAGGCGACGAUCAGUAGCCGACCUGAGAGGGUGAUCGGCCACAUUGGAACUGAGACACGGUCCAAACUCCUACGGGAGGCAGCAGUGGGGAAUAUUGCACAAUGGGCGAAAGCCUGAUGCAGCAACGCCGCGUGAGCGAUGAAGGCCUUCGGGUCGUAAAGCUCUGUCCUCAAGGAAGAUAAUGACGGUACUUGAGGAGGAAGCCCCGGCUAACUACGUG